UCCAAAAGCAGGAAUUUAAAAAGGAAUUUGAACAUGUCACUUAAAGAAGCAUGUCAAGGACAUCAUGUCUACAUCUACACUCAUUGUUAAUGCAGAGCACAGAGGUGGUAAGCAUUCAAGGAGGUAUGAGUGUUAUUCUAGGUUUCAAAACUAACCCAAAAUGUAUCUCUCUCAACAAAUCCAUUUGUUUUUCCCUUUGCAGCAUGACAACAGCAGUGAUCAAAGGUUUUCAUUAAGGAAGUGAUGACAAAGGAGCACAGGCACAGACAACCUUAACGGGCAAGUUCGUAAAAGCUAUGAUGACAUGAUGUUUAAACCUACAGUAUACAUGAAUAAUACACAUCCAACUUAAUGACGCAGACAUCUGAAGGUGAAGCAGUGGACGCAAGACUGAUGUGAUCAGCAGUGACUGAUUUUAUCUACAGGGCUGCAGUGCAUAGGUCCACGGGUCCAGGCCUCUCUACCCUGACACCUAUAAACCCAUCCAAACACAGGCUGUUCUGAUUGAUUCGUGUAUGGACCAGACGUGUGACCAAUAAAUAAUUAAAACCCUUAAACCGUGCGGCUUAGGGAAUUGGCUGCCUGAUGACCAGCUUUCUGACUUAUUGACGGUCUAGCAGCUGUCACGUCAAGAGCGCAGGUGAUCGACAGCCAAACACAAGUCAUCAGAGGCUUAGUAAGUAGGCGGGGCUGAUAUUAUUAUUCAGCCAAUCAGCGUGCGUGAAAUUUAAUCUAGUACAACCAUUGUUGCCCUGAACAGAUUGUUUGUGACACUUAAGGUAUUUUUUUUUUUUUUUUUUUUUUGUCUCUUUGGAAGGAUAGUUAUCCUGUAUUAAAUCAGAAAAAAAUGUCAAAAUACUUAUAUUGCAACAAAUUAUGUGUGGUAAUGUUACGUUAUGAUAAAAUAACAAAAACACAAUGUUUUCUCAGGUUGAUGUAAAGUAGCCUAUUGUGCUGUCAUAUCUAAGGAGGGUUGAAAUAAAACACCAAACAGAAAAGUAUUUGGUUGGUUAUGGUUAAUAACAAUAAAAAGUGUAUCUAAAUGAAUGAAAAUGUAUUAAGUAGUGCACUGCCAUAGUGCCAUUAAAUGAACAUGGUCUGCUGUCUG